GCAGGCUCGAUGGGCCGAAUUCUGCUCCUCCAUCUUAUGAACUUAUGGGCAUGUUAUGUAACCAUCGUUCUUCACAAUGUGUUUGUCCAUGUGGCUAAUUCAGUGUCCAUGAUAACUCUGAUUGCUUCUUUGGUUGUCUUGUCAGCCCAUGAAACCUGAACAAAUCAAUGUACUAACAGGCAAACAUGGUCAUCUUCACAGCAGAGUCUGUUGCAACCUGGACCCAUUUGCAGGUCUUUACAUAAGCCCCUGGGCCAUCUUUGCAUACUCAAGAACAGUGAGUGAUUGCAGUGUGAACGAAGCCCAAGAGUUUAUUAAACACAACGUCAUCAAGGUGUGACCCAUGACCCGCGACAUCACGGAGUUAUCUUAUCGUCACAAUGUGUAUCCUAGUGAUAUCAGACAUCACAAUGUGUAAACUGGAUACACUUGAGACUGCACAAACAGUUCAAGGGAAGGAAAGUGAGGAGUAGCCAUAACUCCUAGUAAGAAGCUAUCGAGUACUGAAUGUGACGGAUGGAAGAACUGAACACGUUUUCUUUGUGAAGUGAAUAAAAACAAUAGUGAUACGACGAAGCAAUAGAUUCAAUGGAACGUUGCAAACAUGGUCAUUCAGGUAUCUUUGAUGAUAAAUCAAAUCCAUUCAAAAGGCUUUUCCUGCAAUCUGUGCUGACCCUCACUGCCAACCUGCUCAGCAAGAAUUUGAUCUGGCUUCAUCCACCUCUGACAGCAGGUGAUCAAUAGCGGGCAAGAGAAAGUAAGGUGAAGGGCUUAUGCUCGAAAUGUCAACUCUCCUGCUCCUCGGAUGCUCGCUGACCUGCUGUGCUUUUCCAGUGCCACAUUUAUCGACUCCAAUGAUAGUGGGCCCUGUUUGAUGGUAUUUGGCACCAGCUCUACUCUGUUCCAAAACCCAAGAAACCAAAGGCACUGUUUCAUCUCUCAUUCCUCACAGAGGAGGUAAAUCAUCCCCUCACUAUUUCUGACUGUCAUGGUUCCGGUAACAACAUGGUACACAACUGGGGUCAGGAUGAGUAAAUGAAGUGCGGAUUUUGUCAAACAGCCCACAGACAUAACAUGAGAUAGAAAACAAAAGCAAGUGGAUCCAUAAAAGAAAGAGUGAAUUCAGACAAAAAAACCAACCAAUGCCAAUGAACAUAUCACAAUGAAAGGAGUGUUGCAACUAAAAUUCUCCCCACGUUAUCCCUCAAUGCCCCAUCCAUUUCUCAGUGGCAGUGCUACAUCCUUUAUUUUUGAAUUGAUAGUUAACAAUAACCACCCCAACAAAUCUUUCGACAUGUCUUGUUAAAAGAACUAUUUUAUGGAAAGAAUGUUGAAGACAUCCUUCAGGUAAAAUAUGGAUAAAUAUUUGAAGUAGUGAAACUUGUUGAUUAGAAUUCAGGGCUGUGUUCUGACCAGUAAGGUCACUGGGGCAUUCACCGUUAAUAUCAAUAUCACAUUGUAUUCUACCAUCUAUUUCCAUUAUUCAGUGUAAGUUUCCACCACCCAGUCGGUGCAAGCUGGAUGCUUCACAUUGAACUCUCAUAUCCCUGUAUUGGU